GUGAAUAGAAAAAUGUUUAUCAGGUGUUUGACAGGUCUGAGAAAUAAAAUUAAAGGUAGAACCACACUACUCUAUUUAGCUCUAUCUUAGAAUUGAGGUCUCUGAUCUUAGCUCCCUGUCAAUCACUUUUAUACAAUCUGUUCUGUUCUAUCACUGAACAUAGAAUGUGGAACUGGAAAAACAGAAACAAUGUGAGCAUUUAAAAG